AUUCCAGAUGAGCAAGCAUUGAUGGCCAGCCUGUUUGACCCAUGGGCAAUGGACCUUCCAAAGGGAGCUAUCUAGCACUUUCCUCUCCACAGCAUGUGGCUUCAGGUGUCUGCCUAUCCUGCUCUAGCCAGAUGACCUGUCCCUUUGAUUUUGAACAGAGUCUCAGUGAUGACCUCAAUGGAUGACCCUCCCCUCUGCUGAAUGCCUCCCCUGGGGCUGAGCGAAGGUAA
rnacentral:lncRNA from 1 species